CCGACUCCCUGCAGGUUCGAGAAGCGCUGGAUCUUAACUGCCAGGAAACCCCAAACCUGGAGCCUGUUCUUGAUAAGAAAAGCUUCAAAACUCUUAAAAGAGAUGAUAAGAAUAUUUUAUGCAGGAGAAAUUUCAGAUCAAGUUUUGAGAAGAUGUAUAGAGAAAGAACUCCAGUAGAACAGCGGUCCCCAACCUUUUUGGCACCAGGAGCUGGCGUCUUGGAAGGCAAGUUUUCAAGGACUGAAGGAGGCAGAGGAUGGUUUCAGGGUAAUUCAAAUGCAUUACAUUUAUUGUGUACUUUACAUCUAGAAUUAUUACAUCAUCCCCACCUCAGAUCAUCAGGCAUUAAAUCCUGGAGGUUGGGGACACCUUCAGCAAAGGACCAGCC
ensembl:lncRNA